UGACGUCACACGGCUUCUUCCGGUGACCAGGACGCAGCCACCCUCGGGACUACAGAGGGAAAGAAGAGAAGUGGCUGGAGGUGAUAAAAUGUAGAGUAGCCCUAAACUCGUAAUUUUUUUGGAAGAAUUGUCUGCUGUUCUGGGAGCCAAUUACACCUUGGAAGACCAUAGGAGAGCUUGACAGAGCAGAUAAGGAGUCACCAGUAUAUAAAUGGAAAUUGAAGGUAUGGGAAUUGAUGAGCUCACCCAUCAGAUGUAUAUAGAGUGAGAACAACAAGUCCUUGGAGAGGCAGCUGAGAACAGCAGUUGACUGGCAAUUGACACUGAGAAGGAACAGCCAAAAAGGCUAGCGAUAUGUGGCAGGAUCCUCUUUUGUGAUGUGGGUAGUGGCAAUGAGCCACAGCUUCUAGCCAGCCAUGAUUGCAAAGAAUGCAGUUUUCCUAGGCUUCAAGCCACUCAGCAUGGAUGGCCUCCAACAGACCUGCAGCCACUAGUAGGUGGGAUCUUGUCUCAUCCAAAGGGCUUCUUCUGUGGCUUAUAGAAGGAGAUGUUACAUUCUCCUUACAUGUAACAUCUGGUCUACUAAUUCAGAUGAUCAUUUUCCAUUGGAUACAAGCUUCAAUGAUAGAUAUUACCCAGCUUAGUUUCUGUCUUUCUCUUUUGUGGCUGAGAUUAUUUUUGCUGUUCAGGGAUUAGUUUUUGUUUGUUUGUUUUUGUUUUUGUUUUUUUUGGUCCUAACACAAUUAUAAGAAAACAUGUUUAAAAGAUCACUUUAACAUUAUUGAAAUAUAGGGACGCCUGGGUGGCUCAGUUGGUUGAGUGUCCGACUUCGGCUUGGGUCAUGAUCUCAUGGUUCGUGAGUUCGAGCCCUGCAUUGGA